rnacentral:tRNA from 1 species
GCUCUCCUAGUAUACUAAUUACAAUUGACUUCCAAUCAUUAAAAUCUGGUGCAAAUCCAGAGAAGAGCA